AUUGAACGCUGGCGGCAGGCCUAACACAUGCAAGUCGAACGAGUGGCGGACGGGUGAGUAAUGUCUGGGAAACUGCCCGAUGGAGGGGGAUAACUACUGGAAACGGUAGCUAAUACCGCAUACCAUCGGAUGUGCCCAGAUGGGAUUAGCUAGUAGGGGGGGUAACGGCUCACCUAGGCGACGAUCCCUAGCUGGUCUGAGAGGAUGACCAGCCAAACUGGAACUGAGAAACGGUCCAGAUUCCGACGGAGGGCAGCAGAGGGGAAGAUUGCACAAUGGGCGCAGGCCGGAUGCAGCCAUGCCGCGUGUAUGAAGAAGGCCUUCGGGUGGUAAAGUACUUUCAGCGAGGAGGCGUUACUCGCAGAAGAAGCACCGGCUAACUCCGUGCCAGCAGCCGCGGUAAUAC
rnacentral:rRNA from 1 species